GACGAACGCUGGCGGCGUGCUUAACACAUGCAAGUCGAACGGAAAGGCCCUGCUUUUGUGGGGUGCUCGAGUGGCGAACGGGUGAGUAACACGUGAGUAACCUGCCCUUGACUUUGGGAUAACUUCAGGAAACUGGGGCUAAUACCGGAUAGGAGCUCCUGCUGCAUGGUGGGGGUUGGAAAGUUUCGGCGGUUGGGGAUGGACUCGCGGCUUAUCAGCUUGUUGGUGGGGUAGUGGCUUACCAAGGCUUUGACGGGUAGCCGGCCUGGGAGGGUGACCGGCGACAUGGGGACUGAGAUACGGCCCAGACUCCUACGGGAGGCAGCAGUGGGGAAUAUUGCACAAUGGGCGGAAGCCUGAUGCAGCAACGCCGCGUGCGGGAUGACGGCCUUCGGGUUGUAAACCGCUUUCGCCUGUGACGAAGCGGGAGUGACGGUAAUGGGUAAAGAAGCACCGGCUAACUACGUG
rnacentral:rRNA from 1 species